AGCUAUCUGUACCAAGCGCUAGUAUUGGCCGCCUCACACUCAUGCGCCCACUUGAUCUAUAUAUAUCAAACCAGAAAUAAGAACUCGCUCAAGCUUGCUCGAGCUCAACUACUCACUUUUGAUUACAGUUCUCCAGAAGCAAGCAGAGAUCGUUUCUGAUUUGACGAAUAUGGAAACUCCUUGCACAGGUUUAUUUUUCGGCCACGUUAAGUUGAAUAUCAUUUAUAAUUCUUAUUUUAUAAUACAUCCAUUUGUGAAUAAUUUUUCUGUUAUGAAAUUUUCAGGUAAGAAUGAAUGGUCGGAGUGUUUAGUACUUUUUAUAAUAUUUAGUAUUGCUGAUGACGAGAAAAUGAACGACAAUAAUCUUGAUCUUCUUGUUGUUCCUCAAUACGGGAGAUAUCCCGACUAUGCUGGUUAAGUGUUGUAGUGUUACACUUUCGUGUUAUGUGUAAUUAAAUAAAAGCAUGGAUAAUGUUAUUUAUUAUCUGUCAAUAAUGGGAACAUCAGUUUGCACCCUUGUACUUCGUUGUCCUUAAUUAAUAAAUAAAACUAUUGUAUUUCUAUGAGUUGAUUAAGUUAUUCCGUCU
rnacentral:lncRNA from 1 species